rnacentral:rRNA from 1 species
UACGUAGGUGGCAAGCGUUGUCCGGAUUUACUGGGUGUAAAGGGCGCGUAGGCGGGAUAGCAAGUCAGGAGUGAAAUCUAUGGGCUUAACCCAUAAACUGCUUUUGAAACUGUUAUUCUUGAGUAUCGGAGAGGCAGGCGGAAUUCCUAGUGUAGCGGUGAAAUGCGUAGAUAUUAGGAGGAACACCAGUGGCGAAGGCGGCCUGCUGGACGACAACUGACGCUGAGGCGCGAAAGCGUGGGGAGCAAACAGG